rnacentral:sRNA from 1 species
GCUGGGUGGGGUGGCGCACGCCUAUAAUCCUAGUGACUCAGGAGGCUGAGGCAGGAGGAUCCAAAGUUCCAGGCCAGCCUGGGCAACUUCAUGAGACACCCUGUCUCAA